CAGCAGCCGCGGUAAUACAGAGAGUGCAAGCGUUAAUCGGAAUUACUGGGCGUAAAGCGCACGUAGGUGGAUGCUUAAGUCGGAUGUGAAAUCCCCGAGCUUAACUUGGGAAUUGCAUUCGAUACUGGGCGUCUAGAAUAUGGUAGAGGGAAGUGGAAUUUCUGGUGUAGCGGUGAAAUGCGUAGAUAUCAGAAGGAACAUCAGUGGCGAAAGCGGCUUCCUGGACUAAUAUUGACACUUAGGUGCGAAAGCGUGGGGAGCAAACAGGAUUAGAUACCCUGGUAGUCCACGCUGUCAACGAUGAGAACUAGAUGUUGGGGAGUUUACUCCUUAGUAUCGAAGCUAACGCGUUAAGUUCUCCGCCUGGGGAGUACGGCCGCAAGGUUAAAACUCAAAGGAAUUGACGG
rnacentral:rRNA from 1 species